UUUCCUACGGGGGGCAGCAGUCGCGAAAACUUUGCAAUACACGAAAGUGUGACAGGGCUAUCCCGAGUGCCAUCCGCUGAGGAAGGCUUUUACCCAGUCUAGAACGCUGGGGGAAUAAGGAGAGGGCAAGUCUGGUGUCAGCCGCCGCGGUAAUACCAGCUCUCCGAGUGGUGUGGAUGUUUAUUGGGCCUAAAGCAUCCGUAGCUGGCUAAGUUAGUCCCCUGUUAAAUCCACCGAAUUAAUCGUUGGAUUGCGGGGGAUACUGCUUGGCUAGGGGACGAGAGAGGCAGACGGUAUUUUCGGGGUAGGGGUGAAAUCCUAUAAUCCCGGGAAGACCACCAGUGGCGAAGGCUGUCUGCUAGAACGCGCCCGACGGUGAGGGAUGAAAGCUGGGGGAGCGAACCGGAUUAGAUACCCCUGUAGUC
rnacentral:rRNA from 1 species